CCGUUAUAACCGGCGAUACCCGAAUGGGGAAACCCAGUGUGACUCGUCACACUAUCAUUAACUGAAUCCAUAGGUUAAUGAGGCGAACCGGGGGAACUGAAACAUCUAAGUACCCCGAGGAAAAGAAAUCAACCGAGAUUCCCCCAGUAGCGGCGAGCGAACGGGGAGGAGCCCAGAGCCUGAAUCAGCAUGUGUGUUAGUGGAAGCGUCUGGAAAGGCGCGCGAUACAGGGUGACAGCCCCGUACACAAAAGCGCAUGUGCUGUGAGCUCGAUGAGUAGGGCGGGACACGUGGUAUCCUGUCUGAAUAUGGGGGGACCAUCCUCCAAGGCUAAAUACUCCUGACUGACCGAUAGUGAACCAGUACCGUGAGGGAAAGGCGAAAAGAACCCCGGCGAGGGGAGUGAAAAAGAACCUGAAACCGUGUACGUACAAGCAGUGGGAGCACCCUUUGGGUGUGACUGCGUACCUUUUGUAUAAUGGGUCAGCGACUUAUAUUCUGUAGCAAGGUUAACCGAAUAGGGGAGCCGGAGGGAAACCGAGUCUUAACCGGGCGUUAAGUUGCAGGGUAUAGACCCGAAACCCGGUGAUCUAGCCAUGGGCAGGUUGAAGGUUGGGUAACACUAACUGGAGGACCGAACCGACUAAUGUUGAAAAAUUAGCGGAUGACCUGUGGCUGGGGGUGAAAGGCCAAUCAAACCGGGAGAUAGCUGGUUCUCCCCGAAAGCUAUUUAGGUAGCGCCUCGUGAAUUCAUCUCCGGGGGUAGAGCACUGUUUCGGCUAGGGGGCCAUCCCGGCU
rnacentral:rRNA from 1 species